rnacentral:rRNA from 1 species
AGAGUUUGAUCAUGGCUCAGGAUGAACGCCGGCGGUGUGCCUAAUACAUGCAAGUCGUACACACUGGCCCAACUGAUUGAUGGUGCUUGCACCUGAUUGACGAUGGAUUACCAGUGAGUGGCGGACGGGUGAGUAACACGUAGGUAACCUGCCCCGG